CCUACGGGAGGCAGCAGUAGGGAAUAUUGCUCAAUGGGGGAAACCCUGAAGCAGCAACGCCGCGUGGAGGAUGAAGGUUUUCGGAUUGUAAACUCCUUUUGUUAGAGAAGAUAAUGACGGUAUCUAACGAAUAAGCACCGGCUAACUCCGUGCCCGCAGCCGCGGGAAUACGGAGGGUGCAAGCGUUAAUCGGAAUCACUGGGCGUAAAGAGCGCGUAGGCGGGAUAGCAAGUCAGAUGUGAAAUCCUAUGGCUUAACCAUAGAACUGCAUUUGAAACUGUUAUUCUAGAGUAUGGGAGAGGUAGGUGGAAUUCUUGGUGUAGGGGUAAAAUCCGUAGAGAUCAAGAGGAAUACUCAUUGCGAAGGCGACCUGCUAGAACAUAACUGACGCUGAUGCGCGAAAGCGUGGGGAGCAAACAGGAUUAGAUACCCUUGUAGUC
rnacentral:rRNA from 1 species